UACGGAGGGUGCGAGCGUUGUCCGGAAUCAUUGGGCGUAAAGGGCGCGUAGGUGGCCCGGUCAGUCUUUGGUGAAAGCGCGGGGCUCAACCCUGCGUCGGCCAGGGAUACUGCCGCGGCUCGAGCACUGUAGAGGCAGGCGGAAUUCCGGGUGGAGUGGUGAAAUGCGUAGAGAUCCGGAGGAACACCAGAGGCGAAGGCGGCCUACUGGGCUGCACCUGACGCUGAGCCGCGAAAGCCAGGGGAGCGAACGGG
rnacentral:rRNA from 1 species